GAUGCAUUGAAUUCUACAUGUGAUCCUGCUGAUAAAUCUUUCAACAUUGCAGCAACUUCUCAACCUUCUAUGUUGGAAGAAAAGUUUAUUGUCAAUAGAAAGGUUCAUUCCAAUAGCACCAAGAGAGAAAACAUACUUCGACAGAAGUCACUUCAUUUGGAGAAGGGCUUCCGAACAUAUGGGCCUAAAGGAUCAAGAACUGGAAAGUUGAGUAGUUUGAUUUUGGAUAAGAAACUAAAAUCUGUUUCAGAUUCUGCUUUAAAAAUAAAUAAUGCUUCUCUACGAUUGAGUAAGGUAAUGGGAAUUGACAUGCCUCAAGAUAAUGGAAGCCAGAGUCUUUCAAUCAAUCCUGGAUCCUCUCCCCCAGCAUCUUCUAAUUUAGAAAGUUCAAGUACAACUUGUUCUUUGCCCAAGACCAAUGUCCCAUCUACACUAGCCUCGGUCAACAUCCCAUCCACAUUGCCUGCACUCAACGCUUCUCCUGUAUUGGCCGCUACUGAUACAGAGCUCUCACUUUCAUUGCCUGCAAAAAUUCACUCCACUUCAGCCUCUAUUGACUGUAACACCGAG
rnacentral:misc_RNA from 1 species